rnacentral:rRNA from 1 species
ACUCCUACGGGAGGCAGCAGUGGGGAAUAUUGCACAAUGGGCGCAAGCCUGAUGCAGCCAUGCCGCGUGUAUGAAGAAGGCCUUCGGGUUGUAAAGUACUUUCAGCAGUGAGGAAGGUGGGUAUGUUAAUAGCAUAUUCAUUUGACGUUAGCUGCAGAAGAAGCACCGGCUAACUCCGUGCCAGCAGCCGCGGUAAUACGGAGGGUGCGAGCGUUAAUCGGAAUUACUGGGCGUAAAGCGCAUGCAGGUGGUUUGUUAAGUCAGAUGUGAAAGCCCGGGGCUCAACCUCGGAAUUGCAUUUGAAACUGGCAAACUAGAGUACUGUAGAGGGGGGUAGAAUUUCAGGUGUAGCGGUGAAAUGCGUAGAGAUCUGAAGGAUACCGGUGCGAAGGCGGCCCCCUGGACAGAUACUGACACUCAGAUGCGAAAGCUGGGGAGCAAACAGGAUUAGAUCCCCUGGUAGGCUCUGC